UGGGGAAUAUUGCACAAUGGAGGGAACUCUGAUGCAGCGACGCCGCGUGAGUGAUGAAGGAAUUCGUUUCGUAAAACUCUGUUCUAUGGGAAGAAAAGGACUGUACCAUAGGAGAAAGCUCCGGCUAAAUACGUGCCAGCAGCCGCGGUAAUACGUAUGGAGCGAGCGUUGUCCGGAAUUAUUGGGCGUAAAGGGCUUGUAGGUGGCUGGUUGCGUCUGUCGUGAAAGCUCAUGGCUUAACUGUGGGUUUGCGGUGGGUACGGGCUGGCUUGAGUGCAGUAGGGGAGGCUGGAAUUCCUGGUGUAGCGGUGGAAUGCGCAGAUAUCAGGAGGAAUACCGGUGGCGAAGGCGGGUCUCUGGGCUGUUACUGACGCUGAGGAGCGAAAGCGUGGGGAGCGAACAGG
rnacentral:rRNA from 1 species